CACACCACGAGAGUUUGUAACACCCGAAGUCGGUGGGGUAACCCUUACGGGAGCCAGCCGCCUAAGGUGGGACAGAUGAUUGGGGUGAAGUCGUAACAAGGUAGCCGUAUCGGAAGGUGCGGCUGGAUCACCUCCUUUCUAUGGAGAACUCGUGAACCGAGCGUUCACGUAGUUAUAAGACGUUUUAGAUGUUUUGUUCAGUUUUGAAGGAGCUAUCCUUCAAACGAUGUUCUUUGAAAACUAGAUAACAAAUACUGUGCUAUAUGUAAUGCAACAAAGUGUAAACUUUUUAAUGAUUAAGUUAGAAAGGGCGCACGGUGGAUGCCUUGGCACUAGGAGCCGAUGAAGGACGGGACUAACACCGAUAUGCUUCGGGGAGCUGUAAGUAAGCUUUGAUCCGGAGAUUU
rnacentral:misc_RNA from 1 species